AAAAGGACAGGAGAUGUGGUUCAGUGAUCAAGCACCCCUGGGUUCAUUCUGAAGCAAAACAAACAGUGCAUGAGUCCACGUGGUAGGAUAGGGCAUUCCUCGUGAGCACAGCAGUACCAGCGACUGCAGCUCCAGGCUGGGCGUUUUCAGUUUUCGCGCACCCCUGGUUCCAUCUGGAUCCAAGUGAAUGCCCUGGGUGUUGGUCUGCAUUUCCCAAAGGAGGAAAUGGCCCAGAAAAGAGAGGGCGCCAUGUACGAUAGGAGCUAGGUUCCCCCAGUCUUCCCAACCGCUGAACUGCCUUGCCCUGUGGGCGUGGCCCUGGCGUCCCCAAGACCAACAGAGACCUUGGUAACGCUGACACUGUGCAGAACAACAGCCACCAGGCAGCCAUCCUAGAGCAGACCAGGGGGCCAGGUGCAACAGGCUGGGAAUCCUGCUGCCUAUGGAGUGGGUGGCGGCCCCAGUGCCCAGGCAAAGAGCCCUUCCUGGAGCCUUGCAGAAAGCUGUGCCAAGAGCAGAGGACUGGCUGCCAGGAGUUCCUGGUGGCACCCCAGCCUGCACCACCAGCCUGGAGACAGAGUUUCCAUCAGAUCUGGAGCUGAGCGAGGAACAGCGACUACAGAUCUCCAAGGAGCUGGUUGACCUUCAGAUUGUGACCCAUCGCCUACGGGAGCAGCAUGAGGCUGAAAUCUUCCAGCUGAGGAGAGAGGUCCUUCGGCUGGAGAGCAGGGUGCUGGAGCUAGAGGUGCGCGGAGAUCAUAUCAGCCAGGGGCAUGUGGACCCAGCAGAGGCCAACCCAGGGCGCUGCCCAUUGCCAGCACAAGAGUUCAAUGAAGAAGCCCAGGGAACUGGACACUCUGCCCACCACAGCCGCCAGGUCACCCUGAGCACAGGAAGAGCCUGGCUGGGGGGUGCUGGUGGGGACCUCCUUGGGCACAGUGAGAUGAGAACUGCUCAUCCACUCCUCAGCACCACCUUCUCACCCAUGCAGGUGCAGCCCACGGAUGUCCUGAUCCCUGAGCCACUGAAGCCGAAGAGUAGUCUGCUGGGAACCCAGGAGCUUCAGGGUGACGUGAAGUGGGUGCUGGAGCAUCACAGGGCUCAGCAGCAGGCACUGGAGACUCGGGUGGCAGCCCUGGGUCAACAGCUGCAGGGAGCCCGAGAGGAGGCCAGGGCAGCUGGGCAGCGGCUAGCUGCACAAGCAGUGGUGCUGUCCACCUGCCAGGGCCAGCUCCGCCAGGCACAGGCUGAGAAUGCCCGGCUGCAGCUGCAGCUGAAGAAGCUGAAUGAGGAGUAUGCCCUCCGGCUGCAGCACUAUGCCCGAGAGGCAGUGGGAUAUGCAGAUGGUACAAGCCAGGCAGCCCUCCAGACGUUCCUGGAGACCACUCUGCAGGACAUCCGAGCAGCACAUCACAGUCGUGAGCAACAGCUGGCCCGGGCUGCUAGGGCCUACCGCAAGCACCUGGCAGAUCUGAGCCGUAGGCAUGACGAGCUGCUGGUCAUCCACAGUGUGCAGCAGGACCAGCCCCAGGCACUGGCGGACCCAGAUGGGACAACUAGGACCCUCAAGGCUACCUUUACUACAGCCACUGACCUGAAGCCACUGCCUGUGCCGCUGGCCCCUGAGCUCAGCCACCUGCAGGAGGAUGAGCACCACCAGUUCAGGAUGCUGCCCCUGCGCCCACGAAGGGCAUCUAGAGAAACCGCCUCCCUGCAGACCUCGGAGCCACAGAACCUGGAUACCACCUCCUGGGCCCAGAUCCGCCAGAAGCUCCAGGACUUCUCCCUAGGCACCCAGAGCUGGAACACGAGCGAGCACAGCUGCUAGUCCGGGCCACCAAGGCUGAGGAGCAGCUUUCAGAGCUACAGGAGUAUGUGGAUCAGCACCUGGGCAGGUACAAGCAGGAAAUCCUGAGGCUGAGAAAGCUGGUGGGCACAGGGGACCCCUGGAAAGUGGGAGCCACACCUCCAGCCAAGCCCUAGCAUCCAAGGACCCAGACGGUCUUCUGAGGAGCACAGAGUGGACCCCUUCA